CUACGGGAGGCAGCAGUGGGGAAUAUUGGACAAUGGGCGCAAGCCUGAUCCAGCAAUGCCGCGUGAGUGAAGAAGGCCUUAGGGUUGUAAAGCUCUUUCGGCGGGGACGAUGAUGACGGUACCCGCAGAAGAAGCCCCGGCUAACUCCGUGCCAGCAGCCGCGGUAAUACGGAGGGGGCUAGCGUUGUUCGGAAUUACUGGGCGUAAAGGGCGCGUAGGCGGUGCGAUCAGUCAGGCGUGAAAGGCCCGGGCUCAACCCGGGGACUGCGCUUGAUACUGUUGCGCUGUGAGUCCGGGAGAGGAUGGCGGAAUUCCCAGUGUAGAGGUGAAAUUCGUAGAUAUUGGGAAGAACACCGGUGGCGAAGGCGGCCAUCUGGACCGGCACUGACGCUGAGGCGCGAAAGCGUGGGGAGCAAACAGGAUUAGAUACCCGAGUAGUCC
rnacentral:rRNA from 1 species